GGUAGGGGAGCGUUCUGUAAGCCUGUGAAGGUGGCCUGUGAGGGUUGCUGGAGGUAUCAGAAGUGCGAAUGCUGACAUAAGUAACGAUAAAGCGGGUGAAAAGCCCGCUCGCCGGAAGACCAAGGGUUCCUGUCCAACGUUAAUCGGGGCAGGGUGAGUCGACCCCUAAGGCGAGGCCGAAAGGCGUAGUCGAUGGGAAACGGGUUAAUAUUCCCGUACUUGGUGUUACUGCGAAGGGGGGACGGAGAAGGCUAUGUUGGCCGGGCGACGGUUGUCCCGGUUUAAGCGUGUAGGUGUGUGUUCCAGGUAAAUCCGGUUCACUUUAACACUGAGGCGUGACGACGAGGCACUACGGUGCUGAAGCAACAAAUGCCCUGCUUCCAGGAAAAGCCUCUAAGCAUCAGGUAACAUCAAAUCGUACCCCAAACCGACACAGGUGGUCAGGUAGAGAAUACCAAGGCGCUUGAGAGAACUCGGGUGAAGGAACUAGGCAAAAUGGUGCCGUAACUUCGGGAGAAGGCACGCUGACACGUAGGUGAAGUGAUUUACUCAUGGAGCUGAAGUCAGUCGAAGAUACCAGCUGGCUGCAACUGUUUAUUAAAAACACAGCACUGUGCAAACACGAAAGUGGACGUAUACGGUGUGACGCCUGCCCGGUGCCGGAAGGUUAAUUGAUGGGGUCAGCGCAAGCGAAGCUCCUGAUCGAAGCCCCGGUAAACGGCGGCCGUAACUAUAACGGUCCUAAGGUAGCGAAAUUCCUUGUCGGGUAAGUUCCGACCUGCACGAAUGGCGUAAUGAUGGCCAGGCUGUCUCCACCCGAGACUCAGUGAAAUUGAACUCGCUGUGAAGAUGCAGUGUACCCGCGGCAAGACGGAAAGACCCCGUGAACCUUUACUAUAGCUUGACACUGAACAUUGAGCCUUGAUGUGUAGGAUAGGUGGGAGGCUUUGAAGCGUGGACGCCAGUCUGCGUGGAGCCGACCUUGAAAUACCACCCUUUAAUGUUUGAUGUUCUAACGUGGACCCGUUA
rnacentral:rRNA from 1 species